AGAGUUUGAUCCUGGCUCAGGACGAACGCUGGCGGCGUGCUUAACACAUGCGAGUCGAACGGUGAAGCGCCUUCCUUUUUGGUGGGUGUGGAUGAGUGGCGAACGGGUGAGUAACACGUGAGUAACCUGCCCCCUUCUUCUGGAUAACCGCAUGAAAGUGUGGCUAAUACGGGAUAUUCUGUGCCUGCUGCAUGGUGGGUGUGGGAAAGAUUGCGCUUUUUUGGUGUUUUUGGUGGGGGAUGGGCUCGCGGCCUAUCAGCUUGUUGGUGGGGUGAUGGCCUACCAAGGCGGUGACGGGUAGCCGGCCUGAGAGGGUGGACGGUCACACUGGGACUGAGACACGGCCCAGACUCCUACGGGAGGCAGCAGUGGGGAAUAUUGCACAAUGGGCGCAAGCCUGAUGCAGCGACGCCGCGUGAGGGAUGGAGGCCUUCGGGUUGUGAACCUCUUUCGCCAGUGAAGCAGGCCUGCUCCUUUUUUGUGGGUGGGUUGACGGUAGCUGGAUAAGAAGCGCCGGCUAACUACGUGCCAGCAGCCGCGGUAAUACGUAGGGCGCGAGCGUUGUCCGGAAUUAUUGGGCGUAAAGAGCUCGUAGGCGGCUGGUCGCGUCUGUCGUGAAAUCCUCUGGCUUAACUGGAGGCUUGCGGUGGGUACGGGCCGGCUUUGAGUGCGGUAGGGGAGACUGGAACUCCUGGUGUAGCGGUGGAAUGCGCAGAUAUCAGGAAGAACACCGGUGGCGAAGGCGGGUCUCUGGGCCGUUACUGACGCUGAGGAGCGAAAGCGUGGGGAGCGAACAGGAUUAGAUACCCUGGUAGUCCACGCCGUAAACGUUGGGCACUAGGUGUGGGGGGCCUUUUCCGGGUUUUCCGCGCCGUAGCUAACGCAUUAAGUGCCCCGCCUGGGGAGUACGGCCGCAAGGCUAAAACUCAAAGGAAUUGACGGGGGCCCGCACAAGCGGCGGAGCAUGCGGAUUAAUUCGAUGCAACGCGAAGAACCUUACCAAGGCUUGACAUGUGCCGGUCGGCUCCGGAGACGGGGUUUCCUCCUUGUGGGGCCGGUUCACAGGUGGUGCAUGGUUGUCGUCAGCUCGUGUCGUGAGAUGUUGGGUUAAGUCCCGCAACGAGCGCAACCCUUGUCUCGUGUUGCCAGCACGUUGUGGUGGGGACUCGCGGGAGACUGCCGGGGUCAACUCGGAGGAAGGUGGGGAUGACGUCAAAUCAUCAUGCCCCUUAUGUCUUGGGCUUCACGCAUGCUACAAUGGCCGGUACAGAGGGCUGCGAUACCGUGAGGUGGAGCGAAUCCCUUAAAGCCGGUCUCAGUUCGGAUCGGUGUCUGCAACUCGACACCGUGAAGUUGGAGUCGCUAGUAAUCGCAGAUCAGCAACGCUGCGGUGAAUACGUUCUCGGGCCUUGCACACACCGCCCGUCA
rnacentral:rRNA from 1 species